GCCCAGAUAGCUCAGUCGGUAGAGCAGGGGACUGAAAAUCCCCGUGUCGGUGGUUCGAUUCCGCCUCUGGUCACCA
rnacentral:tRNA from 1 species